rnacentral:rRNA from 1 species
AUUGAACGCUGGCGGCAUGCUUUACACAUGCAAGUCGAACGGUAACAGGUUAAGCUGACGAGUGGCGAACGGGUGAGUAAUGCAUCGGAACGUGCCCAGUCGUGGGGGAUAACGCAGCGAAAGCUGUGCUAAUACCGCAUACGAUCUAUGGAUGAAAGCGGGGGACCGUAAGGCCUCGCGCGAUUGGAGCGGCCGAUGUCAGAUUAGCUAGUUGGUGGGGUAAAGGCCCACCAAGGCGACGAUCUGUAGUUGGUCUGAGAGGACGACCAGCCACACUGGAACUGAGACACGGUCCAGACUCCUACGGGAGGCAGCAGUGGGGAAUUUUGGACAAUGGGGGAAACCCUGAUCCAGCAAUGCCGCGUGAGUGAAGAAGGCCU